CGAAUGGGGAAACCCAGUGUGAUUCGUCACACUAUCAUUAACUGAAUCCAUAGGUUAAUGAGGCGAACCGGGGGAACUGAAACAUCUAAGUACCCCGAGGAAAAGAAAUCAACCGAGAUUCCCCCAGUAGCGGCGAGCGAACGGGGAGGAGCCCAGAGCCUGAAUCAGCAUGUGUGUUAGUGGAAGCGUCUGGAAAGGCGCGCGAUACAGGGUGACAGCCCCGUACACAAAAGCGCAUGUGCUGUGAGCUCGAUGAGUAGGGCGGGACACGUGGUAUCCUGUCUGAAUAUGGGGGGACCAUCCUCCAAGGCUAAAUACUCCUGACUGACCGAUAGUGAACCAGUACCGUGAGGGAAAGGCGAAAAGAACCCCGGCGAGGGGAGUGAAAAAGAACCUGAAACCGUGUACGUACAAGCAGUGGGAGCNNNNNNNNNNNNNNNNNNNNNNNNNNNNNNNNNNNNNNNNNNNNNNNNNNNNNNNNGGCGUUAAGUUGCAGGGUAUAGACCCGAAACCCGGUGAUCUAGCCAUGGGCAGGUUGAAGGUUGGGUAACACUAACUGGAGGACCGAACCGACUAAUGUUGAAAAAUUAGCGGAUGACCUGUGGCUGGGGGUGAAAGGCCAAUCAAACCGGGAGAUAGCUGGUUCUCCCCGAAAGCUAUUUAGGUAGCGCCUCGUGAAUUCAUCUCCGGGGGUAGAGCACUGUUUCGGCUAGGGGGCCAUCCCGGCUUACCAACCCGAUGCAAACUGCGAAUACCGGAGAAUGUUAUCACGGGAGACACACGGCGGGUGCUAACGUCCGUCGUGAAGAGGGAAACAACCCAGACCGCCAGCUAAGGUCCCAAAGUCAUGGUUAAGUGGGAAACGAUGUGGGAAGGCCCAGACAGCCAGGAUGUUGGCUUAGAAGCAGCCAUCAUUUAAAGAAAGCGUAAUAGCUCACUGGUCGAGUCGGCCUGCGCGGAAGAUGUAACGGGGCUAAACCAUGCACCGAAGCUGCGGCAGCGANNNNNNNNNNNNNNNNNNNNNNNNNNNNNNNNNNNNNNNNNNNNNNNNNNNNNNNUGCUGGAGGUAUCAGAAGUGCGAAUGCUGACAUAAGUAACGAUAAAGCGGGUGAAAAGCCCGCUCGCCGGAAGACCAAGGGUUCCUGUCCAACGUUAAUCGGGGCAGGGUGAGUCGACCCCUAAGGCGAGGCCGAAAGGCGUAGUCGAUGGGAAACGGGUUAAUAUUCCCGUACUUGGUGUUACUGCGAAGGGGGGACGGAGAAGGCUAUGUUGGCCGGGCGACGGUUGUCCCGGUUUAAGCGUGUAGGUGUGUGUUCCAGGUAAAUCCGGUUCACUUUAACACUGAGGCGUGACGACGAGGCACUACGGUGCUGAAGCAACAAAUGCCCUGCUUCCAGGAAAAGCCUCUAAGCAUCAGGUAACACGAAAUCGUACCCCAAACCGACACAGGUGGUCAGGUAGAGAAUACCAAGGCGCUUGAGAGAACUCGGGUGAAGGAACUAGGCAAAAUGGUGCCGUAACUUCGGGAGAAGGCACGCUGACACGUAGGUGAAGUGAUUUACUCAUGGAGCUGAAGUCAGUCGAAGAUACCAGCUGGCUGCAACUGUUUAUUAAAAACACAGCACUGUGCAAACACGAAAGUGGACGUAUACGGUGUGACGCCUGCCCGGUGCCGGAAGGUUAAUUGAUGGGGUCAGCGCAAGCGAAGCUCCUGAUCGAAGCCCCGGUAAACGGCGGCCGUAACUAUAACGGUCCUAAGGUAGCGAAAUUCCUUGUCGGGUAAGUUCCGACCUGCACGAAUGGCGUAAUGAUGGCCAGGCUGUCUCCACCCGAGACUCAGUGAAAUUGAACUCGCUGUGAAGAUGCAGUGUACCCGCGGCAAGACGGAAAGACCCCGUGAACCUUUACUAUAGCUUGACACUGAACAUUGAGCCUUGAUGUGUAGGAUAGGUGGGAGGCUUUGAAGUGUGGACGCCAGUCUGCAUGGAGCCGACCUUGAAAUACCACCCUUUAAUGUUUGAUGUUCUAACGUGGACCCGUAAUCCGGGUUGCGGACAGUGUCUGGUGGGUAGUUUGACUGGGGCGGUCUCCUCCUAAAGAGUAACGGAGGAGCACGAAGGUUGGCUAAUCCUGGUCGGACAUCAGGAGGUUAGUGCAAUGGCAUAAGCCAGCUUGACUGCGAGCGUGACGGCGCGAGCAGGUGCGAAAGCAGGUCAUAGUGAUCCGGUGGUUCUGAAUGGAAGGGCCAUCGCUCAACGGAUAAAAGGUACUCCGGGGAUAACAGGCUGAUACCGCCCAAGAGUUCAUAUCGACGGCGGUGUUUGGCACCUCGAUGUCGGCUCAUCACAUCCUGGGGCUGAAGUAGGUCCCAAGGGUAUGGCUGUUCGCCAUUUAAAGUGGUACGCGAGCUGGGUUUAGAACGUCGUGAGACAGUUCGGUCCCUAUCUGCCGUGGGCGCUGGAGAACUGAGGGGGGCUGCUCCUAGUACGAGAGGACCGGAGUGGACGCAUCACUGGUGUUCGGGUUGUCAUGCCAAUGGCACUGCCCGGUAGCUAAAUGCGGAAGAGAUAAGUGCUGAAAGCAUCUAAGCACGAAACUUGCCCCGAGAUGAGUUCUCCCUGAGACUUAGAG
rnacentral:rRNA from 1 species